UGGGUGGAUCAGUGGCGAACGGGUGAGUAACACGUGAGCAACCUGCCCUCCACUUCGGGAUAAGCCUUGGAAACGGGGUCUAAUACCGGAUAUGAGCUCCUGCUGCAUGGCGGGGGUUGGAAAGUUUUUCGGUGGGGGAUGGGCUCGCGGCCUAUCAGCUUGUUGGUGGGGUAAUGGCCUACCAAGGCGUCGACGGGUAGCCGGCCUGAGAGGGCGACCGGCCACACUGGGACUGAGACACGGCCCAGACUCCUACGGGAGGCAGCAGUGGGGAAUAUUGCACAAUGGGCGAAAGCCUGAUGCAGCGACGCCGCGUGAGGGAUGACGGCCUUCGGGUUGUAAACCUCUUUCAGCAGGGAAGAAGCGCAAGUGACGGUACCUGCAGAAGAAGCGCCGGCUAACUACGUGCCAGCAGCCGCGGUAAUACGUAGGGCGCAAGCGUUGUCCGGAAUUAUUGGGCGUAAAGAGCUCGUAGGCGGUUUGUCGCGUCUGGUGUGAAAACCUCAGGCUCAACCUGGGGCGUGCAUCGGGUACGGGCAGACUAGAGUGCGGUAGGGGAGACUGGAAUUCCUGGUGUAGCGGUGGAAUGCGCAGAUAUCAGGAGGAACACCGAUGGCGAAGGCAGGUCUCUGGGCCGCAACUGACGCUGAGGAGCGAAAGCAUGGGGAGCGAACAGGAUUAGAUACCCUGGUAGUCCAUGCCGUAAACGUUGGGCACUAGGUGUGGGGCUCAUUCCACGAGUUCCGUGCCGCAGC
rnacentral:rRNA from 1 species